GAUGAACGCUGGCGGCGUGCUUAACACAUGCAAGUCGAACGAUGAAGCCCAGCUUGCUGGGUGGAUUAGUGGCGAACGGGUGAGUAACACGUGAGUAACCUGCCCUUAACUCUGGGAUAAGCCUGGGAAACUGGGUCUAAUACCGGAUAGGAGCGUCCACCGCAUGGUGGGUGUUGGAAAGAUUUAUCGGUUUUGGAUGGACUCUCGGCCUAUCAGCUUGUUGGUGAGGUAAUGGCUCACCAAGGCGACGACGGGUAGCCGGCCUGAGAGGGUGACCGGCCACACUGGGACUGAGACACGGCCCAGACUCCUUCGGGAGGCAGCAGUGGGGAAUAUUGCACAAUGGGCGCAAGCCUGAUGCAGCGACGCCGCGUGAGGGAUGACGGCCUUCGGGUUGUAAACCUCUUUCAGUAGGGAAGAAGCGAAAGUGACGGUACCUGCAGAAGAAGCACCGGCUAACUACGUG
rnacentral:rRNA from 1 species